AAGACCCUUUAAAAUAACCAAGGUUUUUUGCACUGAUAGCUCUGAGGAGUGAACGAGGACACUAAACAGUCACCAGGAGCCCAGCAAUCACUAUGGGAACUGGAGUAUGGGGUAGCCUAAGCCAUAUUGUGUACCAGCAGGAAGAGCAUUAUACAGUAAUCCCAACUGGAGCUGACAAAUGGCUCCCUGUGACGAAUGUGCUCAUUCAGUACUUGCUGUGGAUAGCUCUUUGCUUGAAAAGAAGGGUUGUUUCUUGAGAAGCUGGAGGUGAGAAAAGGCAAUUUUAAACACUGUCAUUUCCUGGUUGUCCCAGCUUAGCAAGGAGGCCAGCAAGAUGCCAUGCACUUUGAUGAAUGGGAGCUUCAGAGGACAACAAACAAGGUCACAGCUGUUUAAGUACUACUCUGCAAUAGGAAACUGCUUGAGGACAAGCACAAGGGGCUGUGAAGCUGAGGGAAAACAUAACCAGGAUCCAGUUAUAAAACCCCAUACCCCUCCAGAACACUAAAUCAAGGAACACCAGGAGGAACUGCUCAGGAAAUGAAGAAUUAAGCAGUGAACUGAAGCAGUCCCCAUUCUUCUCCACACUCCAGAAGAAUUGACAAUACCAACAGUUCAUGUAAAGUGUGCUGUACUACACUGACAUCUGCAAGGAGGCCAUAAUUCUUUGAUGUUGUUUCCUUUUAUGAAGCAUCUUUCUUUUCCUUAGACUAACUACCCCCUCCACACACACAUUGUUAAAUGAAAAUCUGGCAGCACAGGUUACCCUGAAGCAUUCUACCCUGAAACUGAAGACAAGCUGGAAGAUGCAAAGACUAGAGAACCUGAAUUUUUCUCCUCAGUUGGCAGCUGCUUUUUGCUCCUUUUAGGC